GCUAAUUUGGCAUACAUUUAAUGGUGCCAAUUUGCCAAGAAUGUAAACAAAAAAUCAGCAAAAAACCAGUUGUAGCCUAUAGCU